GACGAACGCUGGCGGCGUGCCUAAUACAUGCAAGUAGGACGCAGUUGCGAACGGGUGAGUAACGCGUAGGUAACUACCUAUUAGAGGGGGAUAACUAUUGGAAACGAUAGCUAAUACCGCAUACUAGUAGAUGGACCUGCGUUGUAUUAGCUAGUAGGUAGGGUAAUGGCCUACCUAGGCAACGAUACAUAGCCGACCUGGGAGGGUGAUCGGCGAAACGGGGACUAAGACACGGCCCGGCCUCCUAGGGGAGGCAGAAGUGGGGAAUCUUCGGCAAGGGGGGGAACCCUGACCGAGCAAGGCCGCGUAGGGGAAGAAGGUUUCCGGAUCGUAAGGCUCGGUUGUUAAGGAAGCGGUACUAACCAGAAAGGGACGGCUAACUACGUGCCAGCAGCCGCGGUAAUAC
rnacentral:rRNA from 1 species